AGCGAACGCUGGCGGCAGGCUUAACACAUGCAAGUCGAGCGGGCACUUCGGUGUCAGCGGCAGACGGGUGAGUAACACGUGGGAACGUGCCCUUCGGUUCGGAAUAACUCAGGGAAACUUGAGCUAAUACCGGAUACGCCCUUUGGGGGAAAGGUUUACUGCCGAAGGAUCGGCCCGCGUCUGAUUAGCUAGUUGGUGGGGUAAUGGCCUACCAAGGCGACGAUCAGUAGCUGGUCUGAGAGGAUGAUCAGCCACACUGGGACUGAGACACGGCCCAGACUCCUACGGGAGGCAGCAGUGGGGAAUAUUGGACAAUGGGCGCAAGCCUGAUCCAGCCAUGCCGCGUGAGUGAUGAAGGCCUUAGGGUUGUAAAGCUCUUUCGACGGGGACGAUAAUGACGGUACCCGUAGAAGAAGCCCCGG
rnacentral:rRNA from 1 species